AUGGAGCAGGUCAUCGGAACGCCUGAUUAUUAUUAUUCUUUCCUUCAUAAAUUUACCGAGGGCACCAUCUACUAUAACGACGAUGUCAUUCCACCUGGGGUAAACCCAAUAUAUGUUGAUGGCAUGGAACGAUACGACAUUGCUGAUAUACCUGUCGAACUCCCUAUUGAUUUGCGCGUCUGUCGAGAAAACCUCCAUCCGCUCAGUUCGAUGACGAUCAUGAACCAUCAUCACCUAUGGUUAGCGACGAAGAGGAAGUGCGCUUCAUUUCUGAGUCAGGAUAUCCGGCACGUUAUGAAGAGAAGGCUGGAACCCAGACUUCCUCGGCACCUUCAAGCCGACCUGAUCACAAGACCAUUAGUAGUGAAUCUUUACAUCACGUCCCUGGGAGCAGCAGCCAAGAAGGCGUAGUUACCAGAAGAGGUAGGCAACCUAUUAAGCGAAACGCAUUGCCAAGUGACGUUAAGAUGAAAAAAAAAAAAAAAAAAAGGACGUUAACGUACCUCGAAUGCGAGGUCGACGUUGCACUUCGUUCCUCAACGCAACUUACUGUUAAGUCAUUGUAGAACCUACGCAAAGCCAGCUGGAAUCGUUAAUUGCAUUUUAUAGACUUCAGAUUUUACCAACCUCUCUUGAAAAAGCCUUGUAGAAUCGGAGUUACCUAGGUUCGAUGAGAAUCUACACCGAAGACAAAACAUUUCAAGUUCUUUCACAUUGAUUGUUUGUAGAAUAGUUCUGACUUUUCUAUUUUUUGACUGAGAGGCCGUACCUAUCCUAGAGAUCGAAGAUUUGUCAAUUCUUAGAUCUUAUGGCCUUACAUCACUCUCACGAAGUGAAACUCUAAGGUAGGACAGCAGGAAUCCUGUGCAGAGAAUUUUGGAGGACAACUCUCUGAUUUUAUACAGAAAAAAAUUCCAGACAGGCAGUUAACCUAAGAUAAGGGAGCUUACACUGAUGUAGAAAUCGAAUUAUCUCAGAAAACUACGUAAGAAAAAGACGCCGUUCACCUACAGGCAAUGGCAUAACUCACAUGCAUUUUACGUGCUAAACAGCAGCCGGUGUCAAAAUCCGCGAGAUCUAAAGCAUGGACAAUGUAGGGAAGCGAACCGAAACUAAAAAGUCUAGGAUUAAACGCUGGUAGAAACAAAAAUGAAAAAAUAGAAACAUGAUGUUUGACAACAUUGCAUUCAAGCUGGCAGAAUCUUUCUCAAUAUAACUCAAAAAGGGUGAAAUGAUUCCAGCCUCGUUCUAAAAACCAAGUGUCAAAUCAAUUAAAACGUUUAUUACGCACCAUUUGUUAUCAACGUCUACCGGUCGACAAGAAACAGCUUCUGACCUGCUUAACUUGGAUGAUGAAAUGAUGCAACCCUCAUUUCCAAAGCCGAAAAAUAAAUCAAUGUCACAAGAAUUAGGUAGGUGACAACAAAAUGUAUGAUAUCUCAUUCGGCAUUCCUUGCGGAAAUUACCAUAUCAGACACACAAAUGCCGCUUACCACAUAGGAAAAGUCCGCAUCUAAAUUUUUCAAUUUAUAAACAGGCAAUGGAAGAUUUUGUUUCCAAUCUUCAACAUGCAGUUCGUACAGCGCGGCUGUCAACUGAUAGUGACGUAAAUAUUUGAGCUUCGGGAAGGAAGUAAAUAAUUUUGAAUAUCUGAGACAGAAACCUUGACAGUGCUUAGAUGCAACUCUGUAAUGGACUGAUAUUUGUUGUCAAAAAUGUAAUCAGGAAUUUUCUGCCUCAGUGUCAACAUAGACCUAAAAUGAAAAGACAGUGUUAGAGAGUUGAGAAACGAAAACGACAAAAUUUGCAUUAGAAUAAGUUACGUGCGUAAAAUGUCUUCUGAUUUGGAGGGAAAGAUUUCAAGUUGCUAACACCAUAGGCAUAGUUUACAUUAAUGCUCCGUUAAAAAUGGGAGCGCGAGCUUUUCUAUGAGCUCUGCGGCCCGAUUAUACAAACUAUGUCAGCAACCAUACGCAAGGCAUCGCAUUCGGUGUCUUAUCAAGCUGCUUUAAACUUUAUAUAGUCGGCCCGCAGGUGUCGAUUUUUUUAGAUAUUACCAUGAAAAAGUACUGUGAUUAACAUCCCAUCUUUAGCAAAGACGUUCGACACUAACCUAUAAAUCUUUUAUAGUGAAAAUGAAAUUGCAAGAAUGCAUAUCUUGGGGCAGAAUUUUAAAAUAACCCCCCCCCCCCCCUCAAUUGAUUCUUUAAAAAAACUAAACUAACAUCAUUGCCUGAAAUGUUCACUAAACAUUCUUUACAUAAAUGGAGAACACUGACUAGCAAUCCUUCCAGUCUUUAAGUGAUGUUUUAAAGUUGGGAGUAUUCUCUGCACCAUUAAUGUAUUAAUUUAACCAGAAUUAUCUACAUAUUACGUCUACGCAAUGCAUCAUAUCUGUCUGCGCUAAUAAUUUGAAGUUUGGUAAAUGGAUCUUUAGAAUAGAGACGAAUUAGGAUCUUGCGUUAGCAAGUCGGGACACUCGGACUUAAAACCGAAAUGUAUAUUCCUAAAUCAUGCUUUAUAGUUGCUACGGCCUAGAUCUUCCAAGAUUUAUGUCAAACAGAUAAACGGCUCUGGCUCCUGCUAUUGACUAUAUUUUAAAGGUAUUCGGUUUCCCUUCCUUUUAUGCACUUUUACGAUAUUAUUCGUUCGGACGUGGCUUUUUCUACUCUGCAAGGUAGGAUUAGGCUUUAUUGGUGCAUGAUUUACUCAUAACAUCAAAUUAUUAUUUAUUUUUCUACUUACUGAGAAGAUCUCUGGGAUUUUCUAUGGUUGAAAGAUAUGUCGACGGUGUAAGUCGGCAAUCACAUAACUCGUUUGCGGUGUCUGAAAAUCUCCGCCUCUAUGGUAAUUUUUUUAAGGGAGAACAAUUUGACACCAUUCUUUGAAGUUUUUACAGAAUUUUAUUCUCACAGAGAGGAAAAAUCACGGCAGUUUUAAAGAAUUGCCGUUGAAUAGUUUUCCGUCUAAAAAAUAAAGUAUGACAGGAAGUCUGCGACGUCGCAAACCGAGUUAUGUGAUUGCCGACUUACACCGUCGAUGUGUACAAUACCCGCCCACAACACUGGAGUUUAAUUCAUAUUUUUCUGCACAAUUUGGUAUGUUGUCCCUUUAAUCUAUGGGUUAUGCAAUGGUGUAAGCGGUUUUUUUUACUGUGCUUAAAUCCCUGUUUUUACCCUACUGCCUUGGUAGAAUUAUUUUUAAAAAUAGUCGAUUCCGAGGGCAUAGCAUGCCGUCCACAUCUGAAAAUCUUCGAAGCAGCAACCCCCCCCCCCCUCCCCCUUCCGGUAACCCCCUGAAUGAUGCCUUGGAUUUCUGUAUUUAAUUCCUGGGGUUAGGUUAGGUUUAGUUCGGGCACGUCUUGCUUCUAUGCUCUAGAUAAAUAUGGUGAACAGCGGGCAGGACCACCCGGCAGCGCUUCCUUUGCAAGCUCAGUACGGACACGUAUAUUCAAUACCGGUGCUAAGCACGGAAAACACCCAUGCGUUAAACCAAUAAUACCUUAGAACUGAUUCAGCCUCAAUCAACCAGCUUGAAGAUUCUUCCUCUCCUAAGGACUGUAAAAGUAAAUGACUCGCCAAUGUUCGACUGCGAUGGAAAUAAUCUCCGUUAAAUCGACUGAAAUGACAUGUUUGGGUAGACUCAGUACCACAUCGAUAUCAAGGGGAUCCGAUGUCGGUAAAAAUAAUAUUUGUCUCAGAGCCUACAACAAAAAUGUUAUACAAUGAGUGAAUAAAUAUCAAGAUAAUUGCUUACGCCUGGUGAAUUGCUGCGCACUGAGCGAGGCGGAUAAUUUCAUUAUCUCUCCUGAAUUCGAAAGACGCUAAGAGGAUUUAGAAAAAGUGAGUACAUGCGCACAUGUAAUUACCGCAUUUUCGCAAAAAUUACAGUUUUUUUUAUACAUGAAUAGGGCUCUCGCAAUGCUGCGGCUAGUCGAAGCAAAUGAUCCAAAUGGAUACAGGUGCCACUACUUCGCACAACCUCCAAAUAGCUACAUUUUGUUUGGUAAACCCUACGCAAAGGCACAGCUCUGGCUACAAUGGCACGGGCACCCCAUCCUUUAUGACAUUAACCUGCACUGAAAAAAAAACACAUUGGAUCCAUGGUCCAGGCUCUUAAAAACAUCGACAAGAAAAAAUGCUCUUGAUUCAAUCGGAUUUUUGCUUAGAUCAAGAACCAAGCCUCUUAAUUUGAGCGGAUUUCCUUUUGAUUUAAGCAAAAAUCUGAUCGAAUCAAGAGUAUUUUUUUGUCGAUGUUUUCAAGAGUCUGAACUCUAGAUCCAAUGUGCUUUUUUUCCAGUGUGACCUCAAAGAACAGGAUGUCAUGUCAGGCGCCCCCCUCUCCCUCUUACGAAUGAUAAGAAGACCAUCAGUUUCUAAAAGGACGAUAAGUGUCGGAGCUUUAACGACU
rnacentral:lncRNA from 1 species